UUGUAAUAGUAAAUUUUAAUAUUUUCUUCGGGUUUUAGUCCAUGGCUAUCUAUUAAAAUGAUGUCUGGGUUAAGUUCUUUGUAUAUAUUUGUCAGAGUUAUUUAUUUUUUUCUCCAGAUGAGUACAUUAUGUUGAACUAUGUAAUUUCGUCCGUAUUGUCCAUAUCUAAAAAAGAAGUUAGUGAGUGAUGUUGCAUUUGCUAAAUUACUGUAACUGGAGAGAGGUAUUUGUGUUUAUUACUUUCUCAUUUGGCUUGAGCCUGAUUUUCCACCUUUAUUUGGAGGUGGAAAAUUUCACUUUGGAAGCCAUUCCUUAUUUUCCUGAAAGCUGCGUCUUCUACGGUCAUCCAGACAUCUGUUAGAUCAAUAUCAUUAUUUAUUAAGUAGUCAUAUGUUUCUUCUAAGUAGGAGUUAUUAGUGAAUAUCAGCUUAUAUGUUCCAGAUUCAAUCCCUUCCCUUAAGUGUCUCAAGUAUAGUGUUCCCUUAGGCCACCCAGUACUCACUCACUCAGGACCACCAUUCCAGCUACACAGCGGGGUACCACAAGGCAGUAGUAUUUCACCCACACUCUACACCAUCUAUACCCACGACAUUCCAGCACCAAUCACAGACAGCACAAAUAUAGAAUACGCAGAUGACAUCACACAAAUAAUCACAUAGGCAGGAAAAAAAAAAAAGCGGAGAAAAAAAAAAACACCAACAAUUAAGAAGGAAAAAAAAAAAAAAAUGGAAAAUCAAAACAAACACAAAAAUUUACACUAUUGCCCAUAACAAUGAGAAAAAUGGAACCAGUAACCAUAGAGGGGAAGAACAUACAUUACGCAAAAGACGUUAAAAUUUUUGGGCUUAAACUGUAGUAAAUGGAUACAGAAAACAUAUAAGAGACAUCACGAAUAAAGCACAAAUAGCCUUAAACACCAUCAGGAGAUUCGAAUUCUUUGAUACCAACAUCAAACUACAUCUUGCUAAAGCGUGUGUGUACUAGCAAUACUGACAUACCCGGCCUACGCUCUGAACACUCUAUCAGAUUCUCAGAUACUAAAACUACAAAGAAAACAAAACGAAGCACUUCGCUUUGCCUAUAAUGAAAAAUAUCCAUUCACCAAGAAUACAGAACUACAUACACUUGCUAAUAUAGAACCAAUUAACAAAACACUACACACAGGGGGAAAUAACAUUAAACACAAAAUCAUAAACACUCUCAAAGACACAACCUACACAACAACAAUACACGAACACGAACAAGGAGUAGAACACACCUGUUUCAAGAAACCAAUAAACAAAAUAUCAAAGCAACCUCCGGGACCGCUAUUCAAAGGAUAAAACACCACUUCUCAUACUUCAACUAACUUCUAAGUCCCCUAUAUAAAAAUAAAGAUGAACAAAUAAGAAAUAAACAAAUAACUCACUCAACAGGACGGCUAUUCCGUUUUCUUUCACUCUACCACUUCCUUCAUAACUUCACCCAAUCCUCAUUUUCUAUUCUUCACACUCUUCUUUCAGCCCACUGUCUAUCCUCCCCCCCUUCAUACUUCUCUUACUUUUACACCUCUCUGUCCAACCUCCUCCAAACUUUUAUCUUUCUUAAAUAAAAAAAAAAAAAAAAAAAAAAAAAAAAUUCCACGUCUAGCAGCAUCUUGGCGCGGGGGCACCUAAGAAUCACCUAAAGCAAAUACACAACACUAUUCUCACAAGAAAGAUUUUGGAAGAAAAUACAACUAUCUGCAGCGACGCCAGACACCUCACAAUAAUGGAAACAUUAUACAUGAAAGAAAUAUUCCUCAAACUUAAAUCCAAGCAGAGGAGCUCCAUGCCGUCCCCAGCAUGCGAUGCGAGGCAGUGAACAGCCAAUCAGAAGCUAGAACGUCUCGGCCAAUCAGAUAGUCAGGCACGCACCGCACAGAAAACUGGAUAUAAUGCGGCUCCCUCACUACCUAAACCAUUCGCUCUUCAGCUAUCAAAGAAGCAGGUCGUACUGCUCCGCUGAAGAAUGAUCAGGUAGAGGAUCUCCAAAUCCUCUCCAGCUUGCGUCGCGAGGCAGUGAACAGCCAAUCAGAAGCUAGGACGUCUCGGCCAAUCAGACAAUCAGGCACGCACAGCACGGAAAACGGGAUAUAAUACGGCUCCCUCAUUACUUAAGCCAUUCGCUCUUCAGCUACCAAAGAAGCGGGUUGUCCUGCUCCGCUGUAGAAGGAUCAGGUGAGCCGAAAUUUAGAUAUGGGAAACCUAGCGAAACUGCCGAAGUCAUAAACACACAAAAGAAUUAAGGAAUAAAAACAUGUGCAAGAAGAUAUUAAAUGCUGGGUCAUCAGUCACAUUUAAUGAAACACCACUACAUCCUGUUGGCUCAGUAAGGUUUGGCUGAAUGCAUGAAACGCACAUCAUCAGAAGGUAGUGUUGCGAGGAUUAGAUAAACAUAUUCUUAACUUCACUUUUUUUUUUCAGCACUGUGGUUGCCGGUUUCUAUCUUAGCAAGUAGCUGAUUGCCUGGCGACUCGUGCCCAACUCCACCCUGUCUCUUGUUCUUAAUAUUAAGGGGUACAUACC